rnacentral:rRNA from 1 species
UCCGAAAGGGGUAGACGAUGGCAAAUUGGUUAAUAUUCCAAUACCAACAUUAGUGUGCGAUGGAAGGACGCUUAGGGCUAAGGGGGCUAGCGGAUGGAAGUGCUAGUCUAAGGUCGUAGGAGGUUAUACAGGCAAAUCCGUAUAACAAUACUCCGAGAACUGAAAGGCUUUUUGAAGUCUUCGGAUGGAUAGAAGAACCCCUGAUGCCGUCGAGCCAAGAAAAGUUUCUAAGUUUAGCUAAUGUUGCCCGUACCGUAAACCGACACAGGUGGGUGGGAUGAGUAUUCUAAGGCGCGUGGAAGAACUCUCUUUAAGGAACUCUGCAAAAUAGCACCGUAUCUUCGGUAUAAGGUGUGGUUAGCUUUGUAUUAGGAUUUACUCCGAAAGCAAGGAAACUUACAACAAAGAGUCCCUCCCGACUGUUUACCAAAAACACAGCACUCUGCUAACUCGUAAGAGGAUGUAUAGGGUGUGACGCCUGCCCGGUGCUCGAAGGUUAAUUGAUGGGGUUAGCAUUAGCGAAGCUCUUGAUCGAAGCCCGAGUAAACGGCGGCCGUAACUAUAACGGUCCUAAGGUAGCGAAAUUCCUUGUCGGUUAAAUACCGACCUGCAUGAAUGGCGUAACGAGAUGGGAGCUGUCUCAAAGAGGGAUCCAGUGAAAUUGUAGUGGAGGUGAAAAUUCCUCCUACCCGCGGCAAGACGGAAAGACCCCGUGGACCUUUACUACAGCUUGACACUGCUACUUGGAUAAGAAUGUGCAGGAUAGGUGGGAGGCUUUGAGUAUAUGACGCCAGUUGUAUAUGAGCCAUUGUUGAGAUACCACUCUUUCUUAUUUGGGUAGCUAACCAGCUUGAGUUAUCCUCAAGUGGGACAAUGUCUGGUGGGUAGUUUGACUGGGGCGGUCGCCUCCCAAAUAAUAACGGAGGCUUACAAAGGUUGGCUCAGAACGGUUGGAAAUCGUUCGUAGAGUAUAAAGGUAUAAGCCAGCUUAACUGCAAGACAUACAAGUCAAGCAGAGACGAAAGUCGGUCUUAGUGAUCCGGUGGUUCUGUGUGGAAGGGCCAUCGCUCAAAGGAUAAAAGGUACCCCGGGGAUAACAGGCUGAUCUCCCCCAAGAGCUCACAUCGACGGGGAGGUUUGGCACCUCGAUGUCGGCUCAUCGCAUCCUGGGGCUGGAGCAGGUCCCAAGGGUAUGGCUGUUCGCCAUUUAAAGCGGUACGCGAGCUGGGUUCAGAACGUCGUGAGACAGUUCGGUCCCUAUCUGCCGUGGGCGUAAGAAGAUUGAAGAGAUUUGACCCUAGUACGAGAGGACCGGGUUGAACAAACCACUGGUGUAGCUGUUGUUCUGCCAAGAGCAUCGCAGCGUAGCUAAGUUUGGAAAGGAUAAACGCUGAAAGCAUCUAAGCGUGAAGCCAACUCUAAGAUGAAUCUUCUCUAAGCUCUCUAGAAGACUACUAGUUUGAUAGGCUGGGUGUGUAAUGGAUGAAAGUCCUUUAGCUGACCAGUACUAAUAGAGCGUUUGGCUUAUCUUUAAUAAAGCAU